CCUACGGGUGGCAGCAGUGGGGAAUAUUGCACAAUGGGCGAAACCCUGAUGCAGCGACGCCGCGUGAGGGAAGAAGUCUUUCGGUAUGUAAAGCUCUAUCAGCAGGGACGAAGAUGACGGUACCUGAGUAAGAAGCCCCGGCGAACUACGUGCCAGCAGCCGCGGUAAUACGUAGGGGGCAAGCGUUAUCCGGAUUUACUGGGUGUAAAGUGAGCGUAGACGGUGAGACAAGUCUGAGGUGAAAGCCCGGGGCUCAACCCCGGGACUGCUUUGGAAACUGGCUGACUGGAGUGCUGGAGAGGCUAGCGGAAUUCCUAGUGUAGCGGUGAAAUGCGUAGAUAUCAGGAAGAACACCAGUGGCGAAGGCGGCUUGCUGGACAGUAACUGACGUGGAGGAGCGAAAGCGUGGGGAGCAAACAGGAUUAGAUACCCCAGUAGUC
rnacentral:rRNA from 1 species